GUCUAUGGCCAUGCCACCCUGAAUGUGCCUGAUUUUGUCUGAUUUUGGAAGCUAAGCAGGGUUGGGCCUGGUUAGAACUUGGAUGGGAGACCACCUAGGAAAACCAGGUGCUGUAAGUG
rnacentral:rRNA from 1 species